rnacentral:rRNA from 1 species
AUCGAACGCUAGCGGAAUGCCUUACACAUGCAAGUCGAACGAGUGGCGAACGGGUGCGUAAUGUAUCGGAACGUGCCCAGUAGCGGGGGAUACCUACGCGAAACGUCGCUAAUACCGCAUGCUCUUGGUGCGGCCGAUAUCGGAUUAGCCAGUUGGUGGGGUAACGGCCCACCAAGGUGACGAUCCGUCGCUGGUUGGAGAGGACGACCGGCCACACAGGGACUGUGACACGGCCCAGACGCCUACAAGCGGCAGCACAGGGAAAUUGUGGAAGAUGGGGACAACCCUGAUCCAGCAAUGCCGCGUGGGCGAUGAAAGUCUUCGGGUUGUAAAGCACUGUUGGAAGGAAAGCGGUACCUGCAGAAGAAGCACCGGCUAACUACGUGCAAGCAGCCGCGGUAAUAC